GAGUGAACGCUGGCGGUAGGCCUAACCCAUGCAAGUCGAACGGCAGCACAGUAAGAGCUUGCUCUUACGGGUGGCGAGUGGCGGACGGGUGCGGAAUACAUCGGAAUCUACUUUUUCGUGGGGGAUAACGUAGGGAAACUUACGCUAAUACCGCAUACGACCUACGGGUGAAAGCAGGGGAUCUUCGGACCUUGCGCGAUUGAAUGAGCCGAUGUCGGAUUAGCUAGUUGGCGGGGUAAAGGCCCACCAAGGCGACGAUCCGUAGCUGGUCUGAGAGGAUGAUCAGCCACACUGGAACUGAGACACGGUCCAGACUCCUACGGGAGGCAGCAGUGGGGAAUAUUGGACAAUGGGCGCAAGCCUGAUCCAGCCAUACCGCGUGGGUGAAGAAGGCCUUCGGGUUGUAAAGCCCUUUUGUUGGGAAAGAAAAGCAGCAGGUUAAUACCCCGCUGUUCUGACGGUACCCAAAGAAUAAGCACCGGCUAACUUCGUG
rnacentral:rRNA from 1 species